CCUACGGGUGGCUGCAGUGGGGAAUAUUGGGCAAUGGGCGCAAGCCUGACCCAGCAACGCCGCGUGAAGGAAGAAGGCUUUCGGGUUGUAAACUUCUUUUCUCAGGGACGAAGCAAGUGACGGUACCUGAGGAAUAAGCCACGGCUAACUACGUGCCAGCAGCCGCGGUAAUACGUAGGUGGCAAGCGUUAUCCGGAUUUACUGGGUGUAAAGGGCGUGUAGGCGGGACUGCAAGUCAGAUGUGAAAACCAUGGGCUCAACCUAUGGCCUGCAUUUGAAACUGUAGUUCUUGAGUACUGGAGAGGCAGACGGAAUUCCAUGUGUAGCGGUGAAAUGCGUAGAUAUAUGGAGGAACACCAGUGGCGAAGGCGACGAUCUGGCCUGCAACUGACGCUCAGUCCCGAAAGCGUGGGGAGCAAAUAGGAUUAGAUACCCGGGUAGUC
rnacentral:rRNA from 1 species